UGUGAUGUAGCUCAGUGGUUGAGAGCUUGUCUGCAAUGCCCUGGAUUCAAUCCCCAGCAUCACAA
rnacentral:tRNA from 1 species